UACGAAGGGGGCUAGCGUUGUUCGGAAUUAUUGGGCGUAAAGAGCUCGUAGGCGGUUUGUCGCGUCUGCUGUGAAAACUCGGGGCUUAACUCCGGGCCUGCAGUGGGUACGGGCAGACUAGAGUGCGGUAGGGGAGACUGGAAUUCCUGGUGUAGCGGUGAAAUGCGCAGAUAUCAGGAGGAACACCGGUGGCGAAGGCGGCAUCCUGGACCAACACUGACACUGAGGAGCGAAAGCCAGGGGAGCAAACGGG
rnacentral:rRNA from 1 species